UGCAGGUGAUGGUCUUUCUCACGAUGGUCUUCCUAGUCCUGGCGACUCUGAUGACGACUGCCUCACGGCAUUGCUGAUGCAGCUCA
ensembl:snoRNA